rnacentral:lncRNA from 1 species
CAUUUAAUACCAAAAGGGUUUGAAUCCUAUGAUCAUCACCAUAUGCAACAAUUAUAAUUUUCAGAUCUGAUAAUUAAUUGAUUAUCUCAUGACAUAGGUUGCUGAUCAUGCUAAUCAUGAUUCUAUACUUUGUAAUCACAUUAACAAUGUUAUUAGAAUCAUCCUUUUAUCAUAUAAAAAUCAGCAUGUAAAAAUCAGCACCCUAGAAAAAUUCUGCAUGCAGAAAAUUUUCAGCAUGCAUGAUCAUUCAAUUUUCAGAUCUAAUAAGCCUACUUAUAAUUAAUUCCUACCUUAAACUACGAA